GCAGUAAGGAAUAUUGGUCAAUGGAGGCAACUCUGAACCAGCCAUGCCGCGUGCAGGAAGACUGCCCUAUGGGUUGUAAACUGCUUUUAUCCGGGAAUAAACCACAAUACGUGUAUUGUGCUGAAUGUACCGGAAGAAUAAGGAUCGGCUAACUCCGUGCCAGCAGCCGCGGUAAUACGGAGGAUCCAAGCGUUAUCCGGAUUUAUUGGGUUUAAAGGGUGCGUAGGCGGCCUAUUAAGUCAGGGGUGAAAGACGGUAGCUCAACUAUCGCAGUGCCUUUGAUACUGAUGGGCUUGAAUGAACUAGAGGUAGGCGGAAUGAGACAAGUAGCGGUGAAAUGCAUAGAUAUGUCUCAGAACACCGAUUGCGAAGGCAGCUUACUAUGGUUUAAUUGACGCUGAGGCACGAAAGCGUGGGGAUCAAACAGGAUUAGA
rnacentral:rRNA from 1 species